CAAUAGCGUAUAUUUAAGUUGUUGCAGUUAAAAAGCUCGUAGUUGGAUUUCGGGUGGGACGCAGCGGUCUCGCAUUGCGUUUGUACUGCUGCAGCCCUCCUUCUUGCCAGGGGCGGCCUCUCGGACUUCACUGUCUGGGGGUCAGAAUCGGCGAUGUUACUUUGAGUAAAUUAGAGUGUUCAAAGCAAGCUUACGCUCUGAAUAUAAUAGCAUGGGAUAACACGACAGGACUCUGGCCUAUCGUGUUGGUCUAUAGGACCAGAGUAAUGAUUAAGAGGGACAGUCGGGGGCAUUCGUAUUCCGUUGUCAGAGGUGAAAUUCUUGGAUUUACGGAAGACGAACAUCUGCGAAAGCAUUUGCCAAGGAUGUUUUCAUUGA
rnacentral:rRNA from 1 species